rnacentral:rRNA from 1 species
CGAACGGGUGAGUAAUGCAUCGGAACGUGUCCCGUAAUGGGGGGAUAACGCCGCGAAAGCGGCGCUAAUACCGCAUACGCUCUACGGAGGAAAGUGGGGGCUUCGCAAGGACCUCACGUUAGGGGAGCGGCCGAUGUCCGAUUAGCUAGUUGGUGAGGUAACGGCCCACCAAGGCGACGAUCGGUAGCUGGUCUGAGAGGAUGAUCAGCCACACUGGGACUGAGACACGGCCCAA